rnacentral:rRNA from 1 species
UACGGAGGGUGCAAGCGUUAUCCGGAAUCACUGGGUUUAAAGGGUGCGUAGGCGGCUUAAUAAGUCAGAGGUGAAAGGCUGUGGCUCAACCAUGGGAUUGCCUUUGAUACUGUUAGGCUUGAAUCAGGCUGAGGUUGGCAGAAUGUGGCAUGUAGCGGUGAAAUGCAUAGAUAUGCCAUAGAAUACCGAGUGCGAAGGCAGCUGACAGGCCCUUGAUUGACGCUGAGGCACGCCAGCGUGGGGAGCCAUCAGG